rnacentral:rRNA from 1 species
AUGAACGCUGGCGGCGUGCCUAAUACAUGCAAGUCGAGCGAACAGACGAGGAGCUUGCUCCUCUGACGUUAGCGGCGGUCGGGUGAGUAACACGUGGAUAACCUACCUAUAAGACUGGGAUAACUUCGGGAAACCGGAGCUAAUACCGGAUAAUAUAUUGAACCGCAUGGUUCAAUAGUGAAAGACGGUUUUGCUGUCACUUAUAGAUGGAUCCGCGCCGCAUUAGCUAGUUGGUAAGGUAACGGCUUACCAAGGCAACGAUGCGUAGCCGACCUGAGAGGGUGAUCGGCCACACUGGAACUGAGACACGGUCCAGACUCCUACGGGAGGCAGCAGUAGGGAAUCUUCCGCAAAGGGCGAAAGCCUGACGGAGCAACGCCGCGUGAGUGAUGAAGGUCUUCGGAUCGUAAAACUCUGUUAUUAGGGAAGAACAAAUGUGUAAGUAACUAUGCACGUCUUGACGGUACCUAAUCAGAAAGCCACGGCUAACUACGUG